rnacentral:rRNA from 1 species
ACGGGAGGCAGCAGUGGGGAAUAUUGCACAAUGGGGGAAACCCUGAUGCAGCGACGCCGCGUGAGUGAAGAAGGAUUUCGGUAUGUAAAGCUCUAUCAGCAGGGAAGAAAAUGACGGUACCUGACUAAGAAGCCCCGGCUAACUACGUGCCAGCAGCCGCGGUAAUACGUAGGGGGCAAGCGUUAUCCGGAUUUACUGGGUGUAAAGGGAGCGUAGACGGCACGGUAAGUCUGAAGUGAAAUGCCGGGGCUCAACCCCGGAACUGCUUUGGAAACUAUCUCUCUCGAGUACCGGAGGGGUAAGCGGAAUUCCUAGUGUAGCGGUGAAAUGCGUAGAUAUAUGGAAGAACACCGGUGGCGAAGGCGACUAUCUGGACUGUAACUGACACUGAGGUACGAAAGCGUGGGGAGCAAACAGGAUUAGAUACCCUGGUA